ACAAUCACGAGUACAACAUCUUCUUCUUGCGGAAACAGAUAUUUUUUUAAUAAAUUAUUUUUUUUUUUUUUAAAAUAGUAAAAGCAUAUGAGUUAACAUAUUCGAGAUCCCGUUAUCCUCCUUUUCUUUCUUUUUUUUUUUUUUUUUUUUUUGAAAGGAGCAAUCAAAAUUGACACAUUAAUUCAAAUUUAUCUGGUCUAACCUUUUUUUUAUUUUUUAUUCAUUAUUUUUCCUUCUUUCUUUCUGGCUACAUAAGACUCGACGCAAUGUCAUUUUAUAAAUUUCAUUGUUUUCUAUAAACGUGCUUUCAUAUGUGUAAACCUAUUGAUGAAUGAAACAAGAUAGUAGAAUAUGGUAAUUUCUAUUAUCAAGCAAUUGGAUUUAGGUUGUUGAACUCUAUGGACAAGGGCUUGUACGUGUAAAAUAUAUAUGUUUAUGACUUAAUUAUUUACUUUUGCAAAUCUAUGGUUUCAAGUCAACUCGCAAAAGGAAUAUCCGAUUCAAGAAGGAAAAAAACUAAAUACUACAAUAAAAAAAGGUUUGUAGUAUUUGAGAUAAAGAUGGAGAUGCUAUAUUGCACAUGUAGAAUUUGAUGGCAUAAACAAGAAUUAGAUUUGAAACAAAAGUCAACUAACACAACUUUCAAGUCCACGUAUAAAGCGAUUUCUAUUCUGACGGUUCAUAAAAUGUUUAAUGAGCUUGCAAACUAAAACCAAGUAAUUCGGAAAUUAGGUAUUUACAAGCUGAUAAUUAAAAUGUGAACCCUUGAAUUAUUGAUAAUGAAUUAUAGAUUUUAUUAGUUUUAAUUCCUUUUUUAAGUAAUUUAUCAAGUAUAGUCCAACUAUUUAUUUACAAAUAUUGGUAUAUUAGGGUGUUUUAAUAGAAAAAAAAACAAAAAUUAAGCGAAGAAAAGUAUUACAUUAACAAGCCUGAAAAAGAAGCAAACAAACUAAUUAAAAGAUGUUAACUAUAUCAAACUUAAGAGAAAAUUAUUUAAUAAAUAAAACCGGAAUUAAAAAUUCUCUAUAACGAUGUUAGAGAAAUUGUUCUA